rnacentral:rRNA from 1 species
CAGUAGCCGCGGUAAAACGUAGGUGGCAAGCGUUGUCCGGAAUUAUUGGGCGUAAAGGGCUCGCAGGCGGUUUCUUAAGUCUGAUGUGAAAGCCCCCGGCUCAACCGGGGAGGGUCAUUGGAAACUGGGAAACUUGAGUGCAGAAGAGGAGAGUGGAAUUCCACGUGUAGCGGUGAAAUGCGUAGAGAUGUGGAGGAACACCAGUGGCGGAGGCGACUCUCUGGUCUGUAACUGACGCUGAGGAGCGAAAGCGUGGGGAGCGAACAGGAUUAGAUACCCCUGUAGUCCCUGUCUCUUAUAC